rnacentral:lncRNA from 1 species
AGGUGGUUACAGGUUUGUAGCAGCCACGGCGGCGGCGCUCCGGGGCGGCUGUGGCUAGUAGAGGGAGGUUGCCGGAGGUUCGAGAUGUCGCUGGUAAGGGGCCCAAGGGGGACGAGCACCCUGCUUGCCCUCGGGCAGAGAUUAAGGAAGAAAAAUAUGGUAGAGGAGACGGAAAAUGGUGAAAAGAGGCUGCUGGUAGCAUUUGGCCGGCCGGAGCGCGAUCGUCGGUGGCCGGGAGGCACGC